rnacentral:misc_RNA from 1 species
GACGGAGGGUGCUAGCGUUGUUCGGAAUCACUGGGCGUAAAGGGUGCGUAGGCGGCUGUGGCAGUCGGGUGUGAAAGCCCGGAGCUCAACUCCGGAAUUGCACUCGUGACGCCAUGGCUGGAGGCCGGAAGAGGAGGGUGGAAUACCCAGUGUAGAGGUGAAAUUCGUAGAUAUUGGGUGGAACACCGGUGGCGAAAGCGGCUCUCUGGUCCGGACCUGACGCUGAGGCGCGAAGGCCAGGGUAGCGAAAGGG